AUGGAGUCAUCGGGCAACAUUAGCAAAACUGAAGAUAGAAUUGAUCCAACUGAAGGAGGAGACUCUAUUGUUGCCAGCAAAGAUGAAGACAGAAUUAGUGCGCUACCCAGUGAAAUUCUUCUCCACAUCCUAGAACGCCUUGAUCUCCGCACGGCGAUUCGGGCCGGCACCGUCGCAACACGGUGGAGGCACCUUCCUCAUCAACUAUCUCAUCUGCUCAUCAGUACCUCGGACGUCUGUAAGGCCGGUUACACGACAGAUGAGAUAAUGAAGGCAUACACGGACGCGACGAGGAGGCUGCUGUCUCCUCCGACUUGCAAGUGCACUCAAACCAUCAAAACAUUGAAGCUCGGGUGCUACAUCAUGGACCCUUACUUGUCCACAAUUGGCCAUACGGUUCAGGAUGUCGUGAAGAGCCGCGAACCUGAAUACCUCGAGUUCGCAAUGUGCCCAGAUGUUGCUUCUCCAAGUGAUGCCCAAUUAGCCUUGUAUGGACAGCGGUUUAUGUCAUUCUUUGGUGCAUACCCUGGUCCCUUCAAAUUGCUCACUAGACUAAUCCUUCAGAACCUUGCGUUUCAAGACUCAGAUGUCACCAAUCUUCUUAACACUUGCAGUAAACUUAAGAUGCUUUCCUUGAGAUCCUGUGAAAUGCCCCAGGAAUCUGUCCUUGAAUUAGAUGCCCCAAGCUCGGAGCUCAGCUCACUUGAACUUAAAUGCUUUGGAUGCAUACACGUUGAGCUAAUCUGUCUUCCUAAACUGAGGGAACUGGUAUAUGAUGUUUGGUUUUGUGAAAACCCCCCAGUGUCUUUUGGCUAUGUUCCCCAGCUUCAUCAUGUCUGCUUUGCUUGUCCUGCCCAGUCUUGGCAGAAGCCAUUCGUGCUGAGCCAAUGUUUAUCUAGUGACAUAAACCUGUCAAAUCUGCUUUUGAACUUUUACACUCAAAUGAUAUGGGUUGAACCUGAAGGUCCACAACAGCUCACCCCUAUAUUCAGCAAACUGAGAGAUGUGCACCUUUGCGGUAUAUUUACUGAAUGUGAUUUGGAUUGGACUAUGUUUAUACUUGAAGGCGCACCUUCACUGGAGAAUUUUCAUUUAUCUCGUCAUUCAUGUGAAUUCAAUAAGUCCGAGGACGAUGCCGAGAAGACCAACUUGGUGCGGCAAGCAUCCAAUUUCAAGCACUUGAAAUUGAAGUUGUUCGUGAUGAAAGGGUUCGAGGAGGAAUACAAGGUGAUGAAUUAUAUACGGCUCGUCAUGGAACGAGCCGUGUGCUUAAAGAGAAUUGAGCUGCCUGCUAUAUCCCCAUGCAAGAAGUGCACUGCCAUAUCUCCAAGAUUUCCGGUGGAUGAAGCUAGCAAGCACCGCAUCAGGGAGCAACUCAGAUACGGAUUAUCCUCAUCCACAGACAUAAUAAUCGGAUGA
rnacentral:rRNA from 1 species